GUGUCAGCCGCCGCGGUAAUACGAAGGGGGCUAGCGUUGCUCGGAAUUACUGGGCGUAAAGGGCGCGUAGGCGGCGCAGUUAGUCAGGCGUGAAAUUCCUGGGCUUAACCUGGGGACUGCGCUUGAUACGGCUGUGCUAGAGGGUGGAAGAGGCUCGCGGAAUUCCCAGUGUAGAGGUGAAAUUCGUAGAUAUUGGGAAGAACACCGGUCGCGAAGGCGGCGAGCUGGUCCAUUACUGACGCUGAGGCGCGACAGCGUGGGGAGCAAACAGGAUUAGAUACCCUGGUAGUCCACGCCGUAAACGAUGUGCGCUGGAUGUUGGGUGGCCUAGCCACUCAGUGUCGUAGCCAACGCGGUAAGCGCACCGCCUGGGGAGUACGGCCGCAAGGUUGAAACUCAAAUGAAUUGACGGGG
rnacentral:rRNA from 1 species